rnacentral:rRNA from 1 species
CGACGUGGGCAACCUGCCUUAUACAGGGGGAUAACAGCUGGAAACAGCUGCUAAUACCGCAUAAGCGCACAGCGGCGCAUGACGCAGUGUGAAAAACUGAGGUGGUAUAAGAUGGGCCCGCGUCUGAUUAGCUGGUUGGGAGGGUAACGGCCUACCAAGGCGACGAUCAGUAGCCGGCUUGAGAGGGCGGACGGCCACAUUGGGACUGAGACACGGCCCAGACUCCUACGGAAGGCAGCAG